rnacentral:rRNA from 1 species
CUACGGGAGGCAGCAGUGGGGAAUUUUGGACAAUGGGGGCAACCCUGAUCCAGCCAUGCCGCGUGAGUGAAGAAGGCCUUCGGGUUGUAAAGCUCUUUCAGGUGGAAAGAAAUCACUACCCCGAAUACGGGUGGUGGAUGACGGUACCAUCAGAAGAAGCACCGGCUAACUACGUGCCAGCAGCCGCGGUAAUACGUAGGGUGCGAGCGUUAAUCGGAAUUACUGGGCGUAAAGCGUGCGCAGGCGGUUUUGUAAGACAGGUGUGAAAUCCCCGGGCUUAACCUGGGAACUGCGCUUGUGACUGCAAGACUUGAGUGCGGCAGAGGGGGGCGGAAUUCCACGUGUAGCAGUGAAAUGCGUAGAGAUGUGGAGGAACACCGAUGGCGAAGGCAGCCCCCUGGGCCUGUACUGACGCUCAUGCACGAAAGCGUGGGGAGCAAACAGGAUUAGAAACCCGAGUAGUCC